rnacentral:rRNA from 1 species
CAGCCGCCACGGUAAUACAAAGGGGGCUAGCGUUGUUCGGAUUUACUGGGCGCAAAGGGCGCGUAGGCGGACUGAUAAGUCAGGGGUGAAAUCCCAAGGCUCAACCUUGGAACUGCCUUUGAUACUGUUUGUCUUGAGUUCGAGAGAGGUAAGUGGAACUGCGAGUGUAGAGGUGAAAUUCGUAGAUAUUCGCAAGAACACCAGUGGCGAAGGCGGCUUACUGGCUCGAAACUGACGCUGAGGCGCGAAAGCGUGGGGAGCAAACAGGAUUAGAUACCCCGGUAGUCCCUGUCUCUUAUAC